CGGACGGGUGAGUAACACGUGGAUAACCUGCCUCACACGGGGGGAUAACAGUUAGAAAUGACUGCUAAUACCGCAUAAGCGCACGGUACCGCAUGGUACAGUGCGAAAAACUCCGGUGGUGUGAGAUGGAUCCGCGUCUGAUUAGGUAGUUGGUGAGGUAACGGCCCACCAAGCCGACGAUCAGUAGCCGACCUGAGAGGGUGAUCGGCCACAUUGGGACUGAGACACGGCCCAA
rnacentral:rRNA from 1 species